AGACCGAACUUAUCCAUAUUAUCCCCUCUCCCUACUUAGCUUAAUGUGAAAGGUUGUAGAAGAAAGGGAAAAAAAGUGCCGGUGUGCACUUCCACCCGGCCGCGAGGGUGGUUUCCUUGCGGGGCCGACCGGCGGCGGUCCUCCCUUCUCCAAGGGGUGUUGUGAUUUUUCAUCUUUCCCAAUUCUUCCAAGCUCCAUUGAUGCUUCUUCAAGGUUUUGAGCAAGGUAAACAAAGUGGUGGUAUAAUUAUCUUGAAGGCCCAAGGGAAGAACGAGAAAAAGUCGUGAAAAGAGAGCUUGAAGGAUGGAAAGUGUUGAAAAUCCUUUCAUGAAACAUGUUCAUGACAUAAUUGAUUUUUCAUGAAAAUUGUGGACUCUUAUGAUCAAAUGAAUGUGGGAUAGGUCUGGGAAUAUUUAGGAUCCAAAAUUGAGUCAUUGGUCAAAAGUUGACCAAAAAGUCAACAAUACCAAAAUGAUGUAAUUUUUUUUAUCUUUUUUCCUUGUAAUCCCUUAUUUUCACUUGUGUCUCAAACAAUAAGCCAUGUAUCAUGGAUAAAUAAAAUAUUAUGUGAAUUCUCAA